GCCCUCGUAGCACAACGGAUUGUGCGGCUCGGUUCUAACGAGACGGUUGGGGGUUCGAUUCCUCUCGAGGGCA
rnacentral:tRNA from 1 species